AGCGAACGCUGGCGGCAGGCCUAACACAUGCAAGUCGAACGAACUCUUCGGAGUUAGUGGCGGACGGGUGAGUAACACGUGGGAACGUGCCUUUUGGUUCGGAAUAACUCAGGGAAACUUGUGCUAAUACCGAAUGUGCCCUUCGGGGGAAAGAUUUAUCGCCAUUAGAGCGGCCCGCGUCUGAUUAGCUUGUUGGUGAGGUAAUGGCUCACCAAGGCUACGAUCAGUAGCUGGUCUGAGAGGAUGACCAGCCACAUUGGGACUGAGACACGGCCCAAACUCCUACGGGAGGCAGCAGUGGGGAAUCUUGCGCAAUGGGCGAAAGCCUGACGCAGCCAUGCCGCGUGUAUGAUGAAGGGUCUUAGGAUUGUAAAAUACUUUCACCGGUGAAGAUAAUGACUGUAGCCGGGAGAAGAAGCCCC
rnacentral:rRNA from 1 species